GACGAACGCUGGCGGCGUGCCUAACACAUGCAAGUGGAGCGACGAACCAGGGCUUGCCCUGGGGCCAAGCCGCGAACGGGUGAGUAACACGUGGGUAACCUGCCCCGAUGACCGGGACAACUCGAGGAAACUCGGGCUAAUACCGGAUGUACUCCUCGCACAGACGUGCAAGGAGGAAAGGAAGCUUCCGCCGCCGCUGCGGGAGGGGCCCGCGGCCCAUUAGCUAGUUGGUGAGGUAACGGCUCACCAAGGCAACGACGGGUAGCUGGUCUGAGAGGACGAUCAGCCACACUGGGACUGAGACACGGCCCAGACUCCUACGGGAGGCAGCAGUGGGGAAUCUUGCGCAAUGCGCGAAAGCGUGACGCAGCAACGCCGCGUGGGGGAAGAAGGCCUUCGGGUUGUAAACCCCUUUCAGGAGGGACGAAGGUAGGGCAGUGAACAGCUGUCCCUACUGACGGUACCUCCAGAAGAAGCCCCGGCUAACUACGUGCCAGCCGCCGCCGUAA
rnacentral:rRNA from 1 species